CGCGUGGAGGAUGAAGGUCUUCGGAUUGUAAACUCCUGUUGCCAGGGACGAAUGGCUACGACCUAACACGUCGUAGUGUGACGGUACCUGGUGAGGAAGCCCCGGCUAACUCUGUGCCAGCAGCCGCGGUAAUACAGAGGGGGCAAGCGUUGUUCGGAAUUACUGGGCGUAAAGGGCGCGUAGGCGGCCUGUUAAGUCGAACGUGAAAUCCCCGGGCUCAACCCGGGAACUGCGUCCGAUACUGGCAGGCUUGAAUCCGGGAGAGGGAUGCGGAAUUCCAGGUGUAGCGGUGAAAUGCGUAGAUAUCUGGAGGAACACCGGCGGCGAAGGCGGCAUCCUGGACCGGCAUUGACGCUGAGGCGCGAAAGCCAGGGGAGCAAACGGGAUUAGAUACCCCGGUAGUCCUGGCCCUAAACGAUGAAUGCUUGGUGUGGCGGGUAUCGAUCCCUGCCGUGCCGAAGCUAACGCAUUAAGCAUUCCGCCUGGGGAGUACGGCCGCAAGGCUGAAACUCAAAGGAAUUGACGGGGGCCCGCACAAGCGGUGGAGCAUGUGGUUUAAUUCGACGCAACGCGAAGAACCUUACCCAGGCUCGAACGGCAUCUGACAUCCUACGAAGGUAGGCUCCCGCAAGGGCAGGUGUCGAGGUGCUGCAUGGCUGUCGUCAGCUCGUGUCGUGAGAUGUUGGGUUAAGUCCCGCAACGAGCGCAACCCUUGUCUUCUGUUGCCAUCAGGUCAAGCUGGGCACUCUGAAGAGACUGCCGGUGACAAACCGGAGGAAGGUGGGGAUGACGUCAAGUCAGCAUGGCCUUUAUGUCUGGGGCCACACACGUGCUACAAUGGCAGGUACAAACCGUCGCGAGACCGCAAGGUGGAGCUAAUCGGAGAAAGCCUGUCUCAGUUCGGAUUGUAGGCUGCAACUCGCCUGCAUGAAGUUGGAAUCGCUA
rnacentral:rRNA from 1 species